ensembl:lncRNA
AAGCCAAUGAAUUCAACCAAGUCACUGAGAAGUCUGUCUUUAACAUUUGGAAAAUACAGUUCAACCAUGUAGGACUUUUCUAAUUCCCCAUUGUACUUUACAGAGAUAGAGCACUUUGUUGCAGUCAGACAUUUGUUUUUGUUUACCUUUAACAUAGUGAGGCUGGAACACAAUAGUUUGACCUGGCUUGGUGGAAAGCCCACUCACCACGUCAAGGUGCAGGUCAUGAAAAAAGGUGUGUGUGUGUAAUUCCCUAUGCAGUGCUGUAUUUACAGGUAUGCCUAGGUUCACAAAUCAAAUAGUAAAUAUUUUUUUACUUCUUAUUACCACAACAGGAACAGAACGCAGCCAUUCAGCCAAGUCACUGAGAAGUCUGUCUUUAACAUUUGGAAAAUACAGUUCAACCAUGUAGGACUUUUCUAAUUCCCCACUGUACUUUACAGAGAUAGAGCACUUUGUUGCAGUCAGACAUUUGUUUUUGUUUACCUUUAACAUAGUGAGGCUGGAACACAAUAGUUUGACCUGGCUUGGUGGAAAGCCCACUCAUCACGUCAAGGUGCAGGUCAUGAAAAAAGGUGUGUGUGUGUGUGUGUGUAAUUCCCUAUGCAGUGCUGUAUUUACAGGUAUGCCUAGGUUCACAAAUCAAAUAGUAAAUAUUUUUUACUUCUUAUUACCACAACAGGAACAGAACGCAGCCAUUCAGCCAAGUCACUGAGAAGUCUGUC